rnacentral:rRNA from 1 species
AUGCAGUCGAACGCUGAGCCGACAGCUUGCUGUUGGUGGAUGAGUGGCGAACGGGUGAGUAACACGUGAGUAACCUGCCCCUGAUUUCGGGAUAAGCCUGGGAAACUGGGUCUAAUACCGGAUAUGACCAAUCCUUGCAUGAGGGUUGGUGGAAAGUUUUUCGAUCGGGGAUGGGCUCGCGGCCUAUCAGCUUGUUGGUGGGGUAAUGGCCUACCAAGGCGACGACGGGUAGCCGGCCUGAGAGGGCGACCGGCCACACUGGGACUGAGACACGGCCCAGACUCCUACGGGAGGCAGCAGUGGGGAAUAUUGCACAAUGGGGGAAACCCUGAUGCAGCGACGCAGCGUGCGGGAUGACGGCCUUCGGGUUGUAAACCGCUUUCAGCAGGGAAGAAGCGAAAGUGACGGUACCUGCAGAAGAAGUACCGGCUAACUACGUGCCAGCAGCCGCGGUAAUACGUAGGGUACGAGCGUUGUCCGGAAUUAUUGGGCGUAAAGAGCUCGUAGGUGGUUGGUCACGUCUGCUGUGGAAACGCAACGCUUAACGUUGCGCGUGCAGUGGGUACGGGCUGACUAGAGUGCAGUAGGGGAGUCUGGAAUUCCUGGUGUAGCGGUGAAAUGCGCAGAUAUCAGGAGGAACACCGGUGGCGAAGGCGGGACUCUGGGCUGUAACUGACACUGA